rnacentral:rRNA from 1 species
CUGGCUCAGGAUGAACGCUGGCGGCGUGCCUAACACAUGCAGGUCGAACGGAGAAUAAGAGAAAGCUUGCUUUUCUUAUUCUUAGUGGCGGACGGGUGAGUAACGCGUGAGCAACCUGCCUUUCAGUGGGGGAUAACGUCUGGAAACGGACGCUAAUACCGCAUGACACAUGACUGUGGCAUCACAGACAUGUCAAAGGAGCAAUUCGCUGAAAGAUGGGCUCGCGUAUGAUUAGAUAGUUGGUGAGGUAACAGCCCACCAAGUCGACGAUCAUUAGCCGGACUGAGAGGUUGAACGGCCACAUUGGGACUGAGACACGGCCCAGACUCCUACGGGAGGCAGCAGUGGGGAAUAUUGCGCAAAUGGGGGAAACCCUGACGCAGCAACGCCGCGUGAAGGAUGAAGGUUUUCGGAUUGUAAACUUCUUUGACGAGGGACGAUAAUGACGGUACCUCGAAAACAAGCCACGGCUAAUUACGUGCCAGCCGCCGC